rnacentral:rRNA from 1 species
GUCUACAGCCAUACCACCCUGAACAUGUCUGAUCUCGGAAGCUAAGCAGGGUUGGGCCUGGUUAGUAUUUGGAAGGGAGACUGCCUGAGAAUACCGGGUGCUGUAGGCU